rnacentral:rRNA from 1 species
UACAGAGGGUGCAAGCGUUGUUCGGAAUUAUUGGGCGUAAAGAGCUCGUAGGCGGUCUGUUGCGUCGAUUGUGAAAACCCGGGGCUCAACCCCGGGCCUGCAGUCGAUACGGGCAGACUAGAGUUCGGCAGGGGAGACUGGAAUUCCUGGUGUAGCGGUGAAAUGCGCAGAUAUCAGGAGGAACACCGGUGGCGAAGGCGGGUCUCUGGGCCGAUACUGACGCUGAGGAGCGAAAGCGUGGGGAGCGAACAGG